CUACGGAAGGUCCGGGCGUUAUCCGGAUUUAUUGGGUUUAAAGGGAGCGCAGGCGGAGAUGCAAGCGUGACGUCAAAUUUCGGGGCUCAACCCCGUCUCGCGUCGCGAACUGCGUCCCUUGGUUGCGGGAAGGGGAGGCGGAACUCGUGGGGUAGCGGUGAAAUGCAUAGAUAUCACGAAGAACUCCGAUCGCGAAGGCAGCCUUCCGGCCCGUCAACGACGCUCAUGCUCGAAGGUGCGGGUAUCAAACAGGAUUAGAUACCCUGGUAGUCCGCACAGUAAACGAUGGACACCCGCGGUUUGGCCUGUAUGGCUGAGCCGCCAAGCGAAAGCGUUAAGUGUCCCACCUGGGGAGUACGCCGGCAACGGUGAAACUCAAAUGAAUUGACGGGG
rnacentral:rRNA from 1 species